rnacentral:rRNA from 1 species
UGGGGAAUAUUGGACAAUGGGCGCAAGCCUGAUCCAGCCAUGCCGCGUGAGUGAUGAAGGCCCUAGGGUUGUAAAGCUCUUUCGCCAGGGACGAUAAUGACGGUACCUGGAUAAGAAGCCCCGGCUAACUUCGUGCCAGCAGCCGCGGUAAUACGAAGGGGGCUAGCGUUGUUCGGAAUCACUGGGCGUAAAGCGCACGUAGGCGGAUCUUUAAGUCAGGGGUGAAAUCCCGAGGCUCAACCUCGGAACUGCCUUUGAUACUGGAGGUCUCGAGUCCGGGAGAGGUGAGUGGAACUGCGAGUGUAGAGGUGAAAUUCGUAGAUAUUCGCAAGAACACCAGUGGCGAAGGCGGCUCACUGGCCCGGUACUGACGCUGAGGUGCGAAAAGCGUGGGGAGCAAACAGGAUUAGAUACCUGGUAGUCCACGCCGUAAAACUAUGGAUGCUAGCCGUUGGGCAGCUUGCUGUUCAGUGGCGCAGCUAACGCUUUAAGCACCCGCCUGGGGAGUACGGUCGCAAGAUUAAAACUCAAAGGAAUUGACGGGGUCAUAGCUGUUUCCU